rnacentral:rRNA from 1 species
AGUCACUGACUAUUAGACUACCCGUGUAGUCCGAGGGUGUAAACGCUGCAGACUUGGUGUUGGAGGCCCUUUGGGGGCAUUCAGUGCCGGAGAGAAGUUGUUAAGCCUGCUGCUUGGGGAGUACGUCCGCAAGGAUGAAACUUAAAGGAAUUGGCGGGGGAGCACCACAACGGGUGGAGCUUGCGGUUUAAUUGGAUUCAACGCCGGAAAUCUUACCGGGACCGACAGCAACAUGAAGGCCAGGCUGAAGACUUUGCCGGAUUAGCUG